rnacentral:rRNA from 1 species
CCUACGGGUGGCAGCAGUGAGGAAUAUUGGUCAAUGGUCGGGAGCCUGAACCAGCCAAGCCGCGUGAGGGAUGAAGGUCCUGUGUAUCGUAAACCUCUUUUGUCAGGGAAUAAAGGCGGGGACGUGUCACCGGAUGUGUGUACCUUAAGAAAAAGCAUCGGCUAACUCCGUGCCAGCAGCCGCGGUAAUACGGAGGAUCCGAGCGUUAUCCGGAUUUGAUGGGUUUAAAGGGUGCGUAGGCGGUUUGUUAAGUCAGGUGUGAAAGUGUGGGGCUCAACCCCAGGACGGCCGUUGAAACUGGCAGUCUUGAGUAGGGUAGAGGUGGGCGGAAUUCGCGGUGUAGCGGUGAAAUGCAUAGAGAUCGCGAAGAACUCCGAUUGCGAAGGCAGCACACUGG